AUCCAGCUGACAAGUCCCAAAUAGGAUGAAGUGGGGUGCGUCCUGGAU
rfam:Schistosoma mattheei strain Denwood, Zambia genome assembly, scaffold: SMTD_scaffold0004492